UUGGCUGAGGCAGCACAUCUGCUAAAUGAUAAUUCGCGCAGGUGUCCUAAGGUAAGCUCAUUGAGAACAGAAAUCUCAUGUGUACCAACAGGGGAAAAGCUUGCUUGAUUUUGAUUUUUAGUACGAAUACAAACUGUGAAAACAUGGCCUAUCGAUCCUUCAGGUCUGCAAAAUAGCAGCUGGUG
rnacentral:ncRNA from 1 species